UACGAAGGGGGCUAGCGUUGCUCGGAAUCACUGGGCGUAAAGCGCACGUAGGUGGCUUGUUAAGUCAGGGGUGAAAUCCCGGGGCUCAACCUCGGAACUGCCUUUGAUACUGCAAAUCUCGAGUCCGGAAGAGGUGAGUGGAAUUCCUAGUGUAGAGGUGAAAUUCGUAGAUAUUAGGAAGAACACCAGUGGCGAAGGCGGCUCACUGGUCCGGUACUGACGCUGAGGUGCGAAAGCGUGGGGAGCGAACCGG
rnacentral:rRNA from 1 species